rnacentral:rRNA from 1 species
UGCGUAGGCGGGUCUUUAAGUCAGGGGUGAAAUCCUGGAGCUCAACUCCAGAACUGCCUUUGAUACUGAAGAUCUUGAGUUCGGGAGAGGUGAGUGGAACUGCGAGUGUAGAGGUGAAAUUCGUAGAUAUUCGCAAGAACACCAGUGGCGAAGGCGGCUCACUGGCCCGAUACCGACGCUGAGGCACGAAAGCGUGGGGAGCAAACA